rnacentral:misc_RNA from 1 species
GAAUUGCGAUAUGUAAUGUGAAUUGCAGAAUUCAGUGAAUCAUCGAAUCUUUGAACGCACCUUGCACCCUCUGGUAUUCCGGAGGGUAUGCCUGUUUGAGCGUCAUUAACAUCUCAACGCUUAUGAGUUCGCUCAUCUGUGUUUGGAAUUGAAGGCUGCCGGCUUCACAACCAGCUCCUUUUAAAUGCAUGAGCAAAGGACUAUUCCGAAUCAGCUUCGGUUUGAUAAAUCGUUAUCAUGCAUCUGUCGCUGAGGAAACGUAGUCUAUGCUUCCAAUCGUCUUCGGACUGUCUCUUUGAGGCAUACAAUUGACUCUUGACCUCAAAUCAGGUAGGACUACCCGCUGAACUUAA